rnacentral:rRNA from 1 species
UACGAAGGUGGCAAGCGUUACUCGGAAUUACUAGGCGUAAAGGGCAGGUAGGUGGUUUGGUAAGUCUAUUGUGAAAGCUCCCGGCUUAACUGGGAGAGGUCAAUGGAUACUGCCGAACUUGAGUAUAGGAGAGGUUACUGGAAUUCCCGGUGUAGCGGUGAAAUGCGCAGAGAUCGGGAGGAACACCAAUGGCGAAAGCAGGUAACUGGACUAUUACUGACACUCGGCUGCGAAAGCUAGGGGAGCAAACAGG